GCCGGGCUCAGUAACAUGAGCUUGUAACUCGAGUGAGGGCAUUAAGGUGAUUAGACUUGGCUCUGUCUAAUCUGGUUGGGCUUGUGUGUGCAAUUUACUGACUUGCCUGUUCCAAGUUGGGAGUUGGGCUAUGUAGAAUGGGUGAAGCAUGUCCUUGUCGACUCCUAAAGUGGAGGGUACCUUGUUUACAUGACCCUCGGCGGUGGAAAUAUAACCAGAUUGAUGCACCAUGAGUGUAUUUGCCCAGAUUAGCCGAAACCAAAGAACAAUUACAGUA